rnacentral:rRNA from 1 species
AUUGAACGCUGGCGGCAGGCCUAACACAUGCAAGUCGAACGAGUGGCGGACGUGUGAGUAAUGUAUGUGACACUGCCUGAUUGAGGGGGAUAACUCCUGAAACCGGUAGCUAAUACCGAAUAACAUCAGAUGUGCGCAUAGGGGAGUAGCUAGUUGGUGGGGUAACGGCUCACCAAGACGACGAUCCCUAGUGGGGCUGAGAGGAUGUCCAGCGGCACUGGAACUGAGACAAUGUCCAGACUCCGACGGGAGGCAGCAGUGGGGAAUAUUGGACAAUGGGCGCAAGCCUGAUGCAGCCAUGCCGCGUGUAUGAAGAAGGCCUUCGGGUUGUAAAGUACGUUCAGCGGGGAGGCGUUACCCGCAGAAGAAGCACCGGCUAACUCCGUGCCAGCAGCCGCGGUAAUAC